rnacentral:rRNA from 1 species
UGAGCAAUCUGCCCUUCUCUUUGGAAUAAGCGUUGGAAACGACGUCUAAUGCCGAAUACGACCUCCUUUCGCAUGAUCGGAGGUGGAAAGCUCCGGCGGAGAAGGAUGAGCUCGCGGCCUAUCAGCUAGUUGGUGUGGGUAAUGGCCCACCAAGGCGACGACGGGUAGCCGGCCUGAGAGGGUGACCCGGCCACACGUGGGACUGAGACACCGGCCCAGACCUCCGUACGGGAGGNAGCG